UACGUAGGGUGCGAGCGUUGUCCGGAAUUAUUGGGCGUAAAGAGCUCGUAGGCGGUCUGUCGCGUCUGCUGUGAAAACCUAGGGCUUAACUCUGGGCGUGCAGUGGGUACGGGCAGGCUGAGAGUGCGGUAGGGGAGACUGGAAUUCCUGGUGUAGCGGUGAAAUGCGCAGAUAUCAGGAGGAACACGGUGGCGAAGGCGGGUCUCUGGGCCGUAACUGACGCUGGAGGAGCGAAAGCAUGGGGAGCGAACAGGAUUAGAUACC
rnacentral:rRNA from 1 species